UACAUGGGGUGCAAACGUUGCUCGGAAUUAUUGGGCGUAAAGCGCGCGUAGGCGGUUACUCAAGUCGGAUGUGAAAGCCCUCGGCUUAACUGAGGAAGUGCACCCGAAACUGAGUAGCUAGAGUACUAAAGAGGGACGCGGAAUUCCCGGUGUAGAGGUGAAAUUCGUAGAUAUUCGCAAGAACACCAGUGGCGAAGGCGGCUCACUGGCCCGAUACUGACGCUGAGGCACGAAAGCGUGGGGAGCAAACAGG
rnacentral:rRNA from 1 species